rnacentral:rRNA from 1 species
AUUGAACGCUGGCGGCAGGCCUAACACAUGCAAGUCGAGCGCGCGGCGGACGGGUGAGUAAUGUCUGGGAAACUGCCGGCUGGAGGGGGAUAACUACUGGAAACGGUAGCUAAUACCGCAUACCAUCAGAUGUGCCCAGAUGGGAUUAGCUGGUAGGUGGGGUAACGGCUCACCUAGGCGACGAUCCCUAGCUGGUCUGAGAGGGGGACCAGCCACACUGGAACGGAGACACGGUCCAGCCUCCUACGGGAGGCAGCAGUGGGGAAUAUUGCACAAGGGGCGCAAGCCUGAUGCAGCCAUGCCGCGUGUGUGAAGAAGGCCUUCGGGUUGUAAAGCACUUUCAGCGGGGAGGCGUUACCCGCAGAAGAAGCACCGGCUAACUCCGUGCCAGCAGCCGCGGUAAUA